rnacentral:rRNA from 1 species
CAGUCGCCACGGGAAUACGGAGGGUGCAAGCGUUAAUCGGAAUUACUGGGCGUAAAGCGCACGCAGGCGGUCUGUCAAGUCAGAUGUGAAAUCCCCGGGCUUAACCUGGGAACUGCAUUUGAAACUGGCAGGCUAGAGUCUUGUAGAGGGGGGUAGAAUUCCAGGUGUAGCGGUGAAAUGCGUAGAGAUCUGGAGGAAUACCGGUGGCGAAGGCGGCCCCCUGGACAAAGACUGACGCUCAGGUGCGAAAGCGUGGGGAGCAAACAGGAUUAGAUACCCCUGUAGUCCCUGUCUCUUAUAC